GCAUAUCAAUAAGCGGAGGAAAAGAAACCAACAGGGAUUCCCUUAGUAGCGGCGAGUGAAGCGGGAAAAGCUCAAAUUUGAAAUCUAGUACUUUCAGUGCUCGAAUUGUAAUUUGAAGAUGGCAACUUUGGAAUUGGAACUGGCAUAUGUUUCUUGGAACAGAACGUCAUAGAGGGUGAGAACCCCGUUCAUGGCUGGAUUACCAAUUCUAUGUAAAGUGCUUUCGAAGAGUCGAGUUGUUUGGGAAUGCAGCUCUAAGUGGGUGGUAAACUCCAUCUAAAGCUAAAUACUAGCGAGAGACCGAUAGCGAACAAGUACAGUGAUGGAAAGAUGAAAAGAACUUUGAAAAGAGAGUGAAAAAGUACGUGAAAUUGCUAAGAGGGAAGGGCUUGAGGUCAGACUUGGUUUCAGAGUUUAAUAGUCUCUCGUGGAUUAUGUUUCUCUGUUUUCCAGGCCAGCAUCGGUUUGGACGGUGAGAAAAGAUACCCUGGAAUGUGGCUUCUCUCGAGAAGUGUUAUAGCCUAGGUUGAUAUCACCAGUCUAGACCGAGGACCGCGCAUUUGCUAGGAUGCUGGCGUAAUGGCCUUAAGCCACCCGUCUUGAAACACGGACCAAGGAGUCUAACGUUUAUGCGAGUGUUUGGGUGUAAAACCCGUACGCGUAAUGAAAGUGAACGUAGGUGAGAACCUUCCUUUUGGGGGGCGCAUCAUCGACCGAUCCUGAUGUUUACUGACGGAUUUGAGUAAGAGCAUAACUGUUGGGACCCGAAAGAUGGUGAACUAUGCCUGAAUAGGGUGAAGCCAGAGGAAACUCUGGUGGAAGCUCGUAGGAGUUUCUGACGUGCAAAUCGAUUCUCGAAUUU
rnacentral:rRNA from 1 species